UCUCAUUCAAUUCAGUAAAAAUAUAAUAUUUUAAUCAUUACAGCCUGCUGACAGUACCGUAUUUGCUUUUGUGGGUUUAACAGAAAAACAGGACCGGCACCACAGUAAAAAUUAGGUGGCAGGUUUAGAAAUUUCAGAGUACAUAUAUAAUAAGAUAACCUUAAUUUGCAUAGCAUCGAUAAUUUUUGCCACUGAUAAUCUGUAGCAUGGAACAAAGCAGCUCAAAUAGAA
rnacentral:lncRNA from 1 species